rnacentral:rRNA from 1 species
GACGAACGCUGGCGGCGUGCUUAACACAUGCAAGUCGAACGGAAAGGCCCUGCUUUUGUGGGGUGCUCGAGUGGCGAACGGGUGAGUAACACGUGAGUAACCUGCCCUUGACUUUGGGAUAACUUCAGGAAACUGGGGCUAAUACCGGAUAGGAGCUCCUGCUGCAUGGUGGGGGUUGGAAAGUUUCGGCGGUUGGGGAUGGACUCGCGGCUUAUCAGCUUGUUGGUGUGGUAGUGGCUUACCAAGGCUUUGACGGAUAGCCGGCCUGAGAGGGUGACCGGCCACAUUGGGCCUGAGGUACGGCCCAGACUCCUACGGGAGGCAGCAGGGGGGAAUAUUGCACAAUGGGGGGAAGCCAGAUGCAGCAACGCCGCGUGCGGGAUGACGGCCUUCGGGUUGUAAACCGCUUUCGCCUGUGACGAAGCGUGAGUGACGGUAAUGGGUAAAGAAGCACCGGCUAACUACGUG